GAGAGAGAUAGAUAGAUAGAUAGAUUAACAAACUUUAUUUUUCUGUUUAAACACAAAUAUCCCAUUUGCCCUAGUGUGUCUGAGUGGCAUACAUGAAGACUGUAACAUAAGACUUUGGUUGUUCCCACAAUAACGGACAUUAAUGAAAGGUAAGUAGAUAAUUAAACUAAUUAAGCUAAGCCAUCUGAACAUCUGGAUAAAGCUACAAGUGAUUCUAAAACCUUUUAAAUGGUUCAGAAUGUUUUUUGUACCGGUUUUGUAAACUUAUAACUGAUACUCACAUUACUGUGCUUUUAAACAGCAAAUGUGUAGGCAGGUGCUCUGACUUGCAAGCCUUUGAACCUGGAUAUGCAGUAUGUUCCUUUCACUUCCUGUUUGAUUAAGUUAUGCACCAAAACUACUUGAUUCUCAGUAUUGCCAAGAAUACUGACAAAUGUACAGGGUACGCCAGAAGUGACAAUAUUUAAUUCAUACAAUAAUUAUCACAUAAAUAUAACAUUAUUUACAUUACUUCAUUUUUAACAGUGUAGUAAAUAUAAACACUUUCCCUCAGAGUUUCUCACAGUGCUUAUUUCAACAUGUUACUAUGUGAAACAGACUUUUAUUUAUAAGUGCAGUGACUUGGAAGACAGACAGAACUUGACAGUAUCUUUCUACUAUUCAUUUCUUCUUAUUUCAUUAUUAUUGGCUUUAUUUAUAUAGUUAUUCAUCUUGCCUUUCUUAUUUUUUCAUUCUCUUUCACAAAUUUUUACCUCUGGGCUUACUAAAACUGUGCACACCUACAAACACUCCCUCAAGCACAUUAUCAGAUACACUUAUUCUGUUCAAUAAGUGUUGUUUUUGUCCUGUUUUUGCAUAUAAAGCAAAAAAAAUAAAUCAUUUCAUGACUGAGUAUUUUCAUUAACUAUUAAUUUAAAACUCUUUUUUAAAAUAAUUUUUGGGGCAGAGUGCCUUCAUGAUGUAACUGAUGACUGUGUAACUGGACAGCUCUGCAGCUCCACCCAUCUACCUUAUCAACCUCCUGCAGAACUCUGAUGUUUGCUCUCUGUGACUUGACACCCCACCUCAUCGCAGAGAACUUCUGCCCAGAAAUUAUCACACACCAAAUGCUCAGUGGUUACAUCAUGCAGAUGUAUCGUCUCUGUCUAGCUUUCAGUCGAAUGCUCAGCCAUUUCUGUGUAGCUGGACGGGACAAUGAUGUCCUGGUGGUUCCCCACCAUCCCUCCUAAGCUGUUUAUCACCCAUCCCCACUAAUGUAAACCGCCCAUCUGUUUUAAACAAAACACAUAAAAACACACAUAGUCAUUUCCCACUGUGCCAGACCCUGAAAGAAGAGAUUGCUGGGUAUUCUGGUGGCAAGCAAAUCCACUCCAGAUGUGAACAAAUUGUCCCCCUUACUAAUUGCUAUUGUGCUUGCUGAUGCUGAUUUUGGAUCUCUUUGGUUUGUGUAGAUGGGUGUGUGAGUGCUUGCCACAAUACGUUAAGUUUAGAGGUGCAUGUGUACUUACAGAGGAGCUUGAGCGUGCGUCUAUAUGAAGCUGACGGUGUUAAAGUAAUAGCUGUGAAGUAAAGCGUGCUAAAGGAAGGAGGUAAAUCAAGAUGACACUGCAAGAUCAGUUGGAGAACAGAACACUGGUAUACCCUGCCAUAAACAGAGCCACAUGUUUCUUCCCAGAGCCUGAUGAAGGCUUUAUUUAAGGGAGCCCAUUGCUUUCUUCUGUCCUGUCAUCAGAACUUCUCAAAGGAAACUUCUGGCUUCCUCGUCCCUCACAGUGCAUCUAAUCAGGACUGAUUAGGUGUGUGGUAGCCAGAAACAUGCAGGGGAGUGGUGGCUGCUGCUGUGCAUGUGAGGGCUUUUCCUGCAUGGUCUACAGGGCUGAGAAAAAGACAGAGGAAUCAGAGGAUGUCAUGUUGUGGCAUUUCAUAGUUUCUGUUUGCUUUAUAGGAUCCUAACAGAAGAAGCUGCAGGGGGAAAAACAACCAAAGCGGUUACAUCAGAUCCCACCAAAGGCAGCGUGGUCAGCUGAAUUUAGUCAUACAUUAGUCGUACCACAGUGGUGUGCUGUCACCUGACAACAAGAUGGUUCCUGAUUCAAACCCUUAUUGGUGCUCUUAUGAGUGCAGGCGCUCCCUGUGCCUACAUGAGGUUUCCUCCUGUUAGUCUGACACAUGCUCGUUAGAGACGUUGCUGAUUCUGAAUUGGCCGUGAAUGUGAAGCUGAGAAAAUGCUUAUAUGUGUGUUUAGUUAAAAUGUCAUCUGAAGCGUUUUGCUCAGUAAGACUGCAAAUGUACUAAAAAAUACAAGUGCAUUACUUUGUUAGGGUUUUUCUGGGGUCUUUUAAUGUUACUACACAUGGUGAAGUCUACCAGCUGUUCAUGUUUUACAUCGAGAUGUUGUUCUUUAAUUGUUAAACUAUUUGCUUAUGAGAUUUUUUUGUGUAAUGAACCUUUGCUACUUUUAACUUAAAGAAGACCCAACCUCUUUAGGACAUUCUUUUUCUACCAAAUCACAUGUUAAUAACCUGUUUGAAUAUCCUAGUGGUUAUUAAGUAACCUAUAGGUUCUUGAAGUGAUCUUUAAAGCAUCAGUUUUCCUGGGUUUUCACCACCUUUUUUAAAAUCCUUUUUGCUGGAAUUAAAUCCAAAAUUAACAUUUUUUCCUAAAUUUUAUAUAUUUAAAGAUUCAGUUUGAUUUAAUGUUUAUUUACAUUUUUAAACAGAUCAAUUUUUUAAGACACCUGCUCCUUAAGUGGUUAAAGUAAAGAAAAUAGGGCCCUCUUAAAAUGGCACUAAUUCGUUUUAAGUCACAAGUGCUUGAACUCCAGCUGAAGUGCCUAAUUCCCACAAAUAUUUAUCAGACUAAGGCAAUUUUAAUUAACAGCCUGGUUGGAAAAUCCUUGAAUAUUCUGAGAAUAUUACCUAGAGUGUAGUAUUUGUAGUUUUUGGGAGAUAAAAAAUUCUCACAACUUCCCUACCUCAUGACCAGCGGCCCUUGGCCUUUGAGGGUUUAAAUUGUCCAAAAAUGGAAGAUUUUCCUAGUUUUUUACAUUCAAAGCAUUAAAACCAUUAUUAUAUCCACAGAUAAUUUCUACAACUGUAGCAUCAGGUUAAAGAGAAUUCUUCAUUAAACAAACUUUAAUGAAGAAUUAUGUACUUUCUUUUGGCAUUCAAAAGAAAGUACAUAAUUUCAUCCAAAGUACAUACUUGUCAUUGCUUUUGGACAGUUUCAAAUUGUUACACUUGGUAUUCAGAGAUUAAUUCAUGGAACGUCUAGGCUUAAUUUAAGAAUAAAAAUGUCCAAUAUGAAUAGAAAAAAAUGGGUAUAAAAAUGCAAUUAUUUCCUUCCUUAUGUUAUUUAUAACUUCCUUAUUUGUCUAUUUUUAAAUCUGAGCUUUCUAUGUUUGUCUGAAUAUUUUAUUAGUAUCAGUUGCUUAAUUGUUUUAAUAAUGAAAAAAUCUUUAAAAUAAUUAUACAAAUGUGGUUUUAUUGAAUAUGCGUUUGUUCUAUUAAUUGUUGUGAGAAAUUUUAAUUCCUACAGAUCUUGUGUUGACAGACCUGCUUUUAUUUGUCUAACAGUUAAAUAUUUAACUGCCCCCCCCCCCCCCAAAUAAAAGUCUGCUUGAAUACAAAAAACCGACCUGACUUUUUAAAGUAAACUUUGAAAAACAAAAAACAAAACAAACAAACGAACAGAAAACAAAACAUCUCAACACUAUUCGUGUUUAAAGAGGUUUUUAGCCUGUCUGUUUUACAUAAACGAGUCUGCGACGUCAGGUACAGAUAUCCGGUCCGAUCCAGUGGAGUAACAUUUAGGUCCGAGACAACAACUUACAAUAUAGGCUUAUUAUAAGCAGCUUCUUCUUUAAAAAACAGGAAAAAAAAGUGGUUCGGGAAACAAAAAGCAUCAUCAUCGUCAUCAUCAUUUCCGCAAGCUCUUUCCAGCACACCGUUGUAGUAGGUACGUCUAUUGUAGUUGUGCAGCACAGCAGCCCCGAACAACAAACACUUUCUGCCCCGCUCCCCUUUAUUGAACAAGCCGAAAGGCUUUUGAUGCUUUCAUGUUCUGUCGGAAAUUUUUCAAUUUAGACUAAUUGCCCAUGAAAAUCCGAAUAACAGGAUAAGUGCAUUCUGCAUGGUGAUGUAUUUUUUAUUUUAAUUGUUCACUGGCCAGUCAGCA
ensembl:lncRNA